GGGAUAUUGGACAAUGGGGGGAACCCUGAUCCAGCGACGCCGCGUGAGUGAAGAAGUAUCUCGGUAUGUAACGCUCUAUCAGCAGGGAAGAAGAAAUGACGGUACCUGAGUAAGAAGCCCCGGCUAACUACGUGCCAGCAGCCGCGGUAAUACGUAGGGAGCAAGCGUUGUUCGGAAUGACUGGGCGUAAAGGGUGCGUAGGCGGUUGUACAAGUUAGAAGUGAAAUACCCAGGGCUUAACUCGGGUGCUGCUUCUAAAACUGUAUGACUUGAGUGCAGUAGAGGUUAGUGGAAUUCCUAGUGUAGCGGUGGAAUGCGUAGAUAUUAGGAGGAACACCAGAGGCGAAGGCGGCUAACUGGACUGCAACUGACGCUGAGGCACGAAAGUGUGGGGAGCAAACAG
rnacentral:rRNA from 1 species